CCUGCCGGACCUGACUGCUAUCGGAUUGAUACUAAGCCAUGCGAGUCAUUGUAGCAAUACAAGGCAUACGGCUCAGUAACGCGUAGUCAACCUAACCUAUGGACGGGAAUAACCUCGGGAAACUGAGAAUAAUGCCCGAUAGAACAUUAUACCUGGAAUGGUUUAUGUUCCAAAUGAUUUAUCGCCGUAGGAUGGGACUGCGGCCUAUCAGUUUGUUGGUGAGGUAAUGGCCCACCAAGACUAUUACAGGUACGGGCUCUGAGAGGAGUAGCCCGGAGAUGGGUACUGAGACACGGACCCAGGCCCUAUGGGGCGCAGCAGGCGAGAAAACUUUGCAAUGUGCGAAAGCACGACAAGGUUAAUCCGAGUGAUUUCUGCUAAAGAAAUCUUUUGUUAGUCCUAGAAACACUAACGAAUAAGGGGUGGGCAAGUUCUGGUGUCAGCCGCCGCGGUAAAACCAGCACCUCAAGUGGUCAGGAUGAUUAUUGGGCCUAAAGCAUCCGUAGCCGGCUCUGUAAGUUUUCGGUUAAAUCUGUACGCUCAACGUACAGGCUGCCGGGAAUACUGCAGAGCUAGGGAGUGGGAGAGGUAGACGGUACUUGAUAGGAAGGGGUAAAAUCCUUUGAUCUAUCGAUGACCACCUGUGGCGAAGGCGGUCUACCAGAACAUGUUCGACGGUGAGGGAUGAAAGCUGGGGGAGCAAACCGGAUUAGAUACCCGGGUAGUCCCAGCUGUAAACGAUGCAGACUCGAUAAUGCAUUGGCACAUAGCCAGUGCAGUGUCGCAGGAAAGCCGUUAAGUCUGCCGCCUGGGAAGUACGUACGCAAGU
rnacentral:rRNA from 2 species